rnacentral:tRNA from 1 species
GUCCUCGUAGUAUAAUGGAUAUUACAAGCGCCUCCUAAGCGUUAGAUGCAGGUUCAAUUCCUGCCGGGGACA